CCUACGGGAGGCAGCAGUGAGGAAUAUUGGUCAAUGGACGCAAGUCUGAACCAGCCAUGCCGCGUGCAGGAAGACGGCUCUAUGAGUUGUACACUGCUUUUGUACGAGGGUAAAUCCCGAUACGUGUAUCGUGUUGAAAGUAUCGUACGAAUAAGGAUCGGCUAACUCCGUGCCAGCAGCCGCGGUAAUACGGAGGAUUCAAGCGUUAUCCGGAUUUAUUGGGUUUAAAGGGUGCGUAGGCGGUUCGAUAAGUUAGAGGUGAAAUCCCGGGGCUCAACUCCGGCACUGCCUCUGAUACUGUCGGGCUAGAGUGUAGUUGCGGUAGGCGGAAUGUAUGGUGGAGCGGUGAAAUGCAUAGAGAGCAUACAGAACACCGAUUGCGAAGGCAGCUUACCAAACUACGACUGACGUUGAGGCACGAAAGCGUGGGGAGCAAACAGGAUUAGAUACCCCUGUAGUC
rnacentral:rRNA from 1 species